GACGAACGCUGGCGGCGUGCUUAACACAUGCAAGUCGAGCGGUAAGGCCCUUUCGGGGGUACACGAGCGGCGAACGGGUGAGUAACACGCGGGUGACCUGCCCUCAGCUCUGGGAUAAGCCUGGGAAACUGGGUCUAAUACUGGAUAUGACUCCACGGUGCAUGUCGUGGGGUGGAAAGCCUUGUGCGGCUGAGGAUGGGCCCGCGGCCUAUCAGCUUGUUGGUGGGGUGANGGCCUACCAAGGCGACGACGGGUAGCCGGCCUGAGAGGGCGACCGGCCACACUGGGACUGAGACACGGCCCAGACUCCUACGGGAGGCAGCAGUGGGGAAUCUUGCGCAAUGGGCGAAAGCCUGACGCAGCGACGCCGCGUGAGGGAUGACGGCCUCGGUGUAAC
rnacentral:rRNA from 1 species